GAUGAAGAACGUAGCGAAAUGCGAUAAGUAAUGUGAAUUGCAGAAUUCAGUGAAUCAUCGAAUCUUUGAACGCACAUUGCGCCCGCCAGUAUUCUGGCGGGCAUGCCUGUCCGAGCGUCAUUUCAACCCUCGAACCCCUCCGGGGGGUCGGCGUUGGGGAUCGGCCCUCCCUUAGCGGGUGGCCGUCUCCGAAAUACAGUGGCGGUCUCGCCGCAGCCUCUCCUGCGCAGUAGUUUGCACACUCGCAUCGGGAGCGCGGCGCGUCCACAGCCGUUAAACACCCAACUUUUAAGAGUUGACCUCGAAUCAGGUAGGAAUACCCGCUGAACUUAAGCAUAUCAAUAAGCGGAGGA
rnacentral:misc_RNA from 1 species